CGCGCACCCUUUCCUCCAUGUUGGCGGUGCGUUGAGGGACGGACGGAAAUAUCGAAACCGAACUGACAACGUCGAAUUUCCUCGGGUUAACCGCAUACAUUUGAACGAAUUUCACAAGCGAGCUACGCUAAACGUUCAUGAACAAUAAUCACAGCAGUUUGUCCCGGUGAUCCAGAGUUGCCAUGCGACGCCCACAGUCCCACUUCCUACUGAUGAAGUUAUGAAGUAGUGUACAGGCAGCACUUGAAGGCAGCAUUACAGUGGUUACGGCAGACAACAUCGGUACACCAUGUCCCGUAUGACUCAGUUAGCUAGUUAGUUAACAGCUUAAUAAUACCAGUAAACACUUUACACACACAUUAAAAAAAACGAAUAUCGAUUUAAUAUUUGACCAGGUAAUUGCUGUGAAUUUGUAUUUUUAAUAAUAGCUAGUAUAGUAGCCUAGAGUUUAUUAUUUGAAAUUGUUGGCAGUUAGUGUAACUGUAAUGAAAGACAGCAUCACUGUAAGACUGUUCAGAUGCUGCAGCACUUAUCCAUUUGUUCUUGCUUUGAGCACUGUCAUCCAAGAGAUAACAGCCCGGCUCAUAAAAAAAUCAGUUAUUCUUCAGUUGUUAAUACAUUUUUCAUGUACAGUAUGUUUACAAAUAAUUAAAGUCCCAAUAACCGAUAUCAGAUGGUUGCCUGAGAACCAAAACAAAGUCAAGACUAUAUCCUCUACUGUAAAGUCAAUACAUAACCCAGAUCCACACAAUAAGCUACAAAACCUGAGACAUGAUACAACUUGUUUUAUAGUUUAACUUGUCAAAUUUCAAAUAUCACAGAUGUAAUGCUAGUUAUCAAUUAUAAAAGAUGAAUUGUGUGAAUUUGAAAAUGCUCUUUGCUUAAAGCAGCAUCAAUUUUUAAUCAAUUUUAAUCAAUCAAAAAAGCUCCACUACAGCAUUUGGUUCAACUCAUUAGUAAUAUGAUGUUUCCCAGAUGUUACCUUAUAAAAACACAGAUACAAAACACACUUAAAAACUGUGGACUCAGACAGGGUUUAUUCACUUAAAAGCCAAAGACGUGGCGGAGACUGAGCCACCAAGGAAGUGCCAGGUCAGCAUGUGAGCAACAUGAUCAUUCACACCGCCUAUCUAGGAGUGCUAUAAUUAUGCACAUGCCCAUCAUUAGGCCUACAGUAUCAAAUGCCCGACGUGUUUCUUGGAAAACAUUAAACAGAGAUCUCAGACUUGAGAACGAGAAAGACUUGGUUAGGGAUCAUUUGGCAAAUUACGUGGUUGUCUGGGCCAAUGUUAGCUUCCACCACACAACUCUCACCAGUAGAUUUUUUUUUGGGCCACCCACAGUUUUAAUCUUCUCUUUGCUUCUCAAUGAGGAGUUUCUCACCACUUUACAAGGUGGAGCGUCUUCACCAGCCCAACAACUAAUUUAACACAAAUCCUAAAAUAUCAAAGUAAUCCUACCAGACUAACUACAUGUACAUACACCGUGUGUAACAGACUGACAAAUAAGGAGCAUCAAGUUCAUUCAUUUUGUGGGUAAUAAUAUAAUUAAUAAGUAAUAGUAAUAAUAUAAUAGUAAUAGUAAUAGUAAUAAUAUAAUUCAUAUAAAAUACAAAAUGUUAUAAACAAAUAACAGAUGACUAUUUCAGAGAAUCAAAUGUGUGCACUUUUCCAUUUUGCAUGUGUUCACAGACCCGCAGUUAGCGGUUGAGUUCAUUACCAUCCUUUGAUGUGGAGGUUUUCUGGGAUGGGCUGUGAUGACUGGCCUAAUGUGGAGACAUCGCAUCUACAACUAAAAGACAGUAACAUAGCUUAAAACACACGGCACAACAUGCAACAGCCUUUUACUGGACGUGAACCUGUGCCAGUUUUCAAGUCUUUGAAAAGAUUUAAUCACAACCCCUGUAAAAACAGCCUGUAAUAUACACCAACCCAAGCAGCAAAGUUCAAAUGAUCAGAAAACCACAUCCCAUUAGUUAAAAUCGCAAAAAGGAUAUUUUGUAGAUGUGACUUUAGUCUGCUGAAUACUUUUCUGUCUAAAUAUAGAUAAACAUAUAGAAAAAAGCAAGCAGAUCUGCCUGCCAAAAAAAACAAACAAAUAAAAAAAAAAAAAACUUACUUUGAAGAUCACUGUACGACAAUAUACACUACCACAUUCCUACUACUUAUGUGUAUCCUUGUGAUCAUGAUACACCAUCAUCACCUUUCUGUGAAUUUCUUUCCUUAUGCUGUUAUCCCUCCUCCAACUUUGCAACAGUAAUCCCUCGGUGUCAGCGUCUGCGGGUCAGUAAAGUUUUACACAUCCUCUGCAGUAGCUUAUCAAAGCUUUUAUUUCCACUGAAACAGCUGUGCCCUGCUGCUGAGAGUGAAGGGACUCCAGCUAAAAUCAUCAUUAACCAUUAGGGACACGCCAACAGAGUCAGAACUUUGGCUCGUCUUUUGUUAGGACACCAGUUUCCGGUGUACGUCAGUCCUGACACAGAAUGUGGGUCAAGCAUAGCAGUAUAAACUCUAAAUGUCCCAUCCCACAUAAAUAAAUAGCAGGGAUUUGCUUUGUUUUGUACAGUAGAGGUUAUAAGAACAAAAGUCUGAUAUAAUUAUUAUAACCUAUAAACAUGGGGUUUCUAAGCAGGGGGGGCGAUUCAUGCGGUAUAGGUCUGUGAACACAAGCCAAGCACAGCUGAGACGCACACAGCGGGCAGCAGGAGCAGCUACAAUAAGCCAGUGUUGACUUUCAUUUCAAAACGAGCUCAGGCGGUCCAUCCUGUCUGAAGCACAGGCAGAAGCCCUGUGUGUUGCUCUUUCUACCCACCUACUGGGCAAACUAACCUGGUACUGGUUCAGGUCAGGUUUUAAUCUGGUGAAUCCAGACUCUUCCUCCAGUUUAUCCACCAGUUUAUCCAGUGGCAUCACACAUCCUCAAAGCCCAGACCAUUAGUAGUGGCCUCAAAUGUGACAUUUGUAGUACACACAGCUCCUUGUUGAGGCCGUUAACACACAGAGACAACUAGUAUAAAAACUGAAAAUGCAAAGGGCAAAUGCACAAGAUCAACUAUGCUGCCAAUGUAGCAAAGAAUCUAAAUCAAAAAUAAAUGGACGUUUGUACUGGCCUGGUAAAAUGUCAGCUAAAUAUUUUUAAGAUUGCCUCGAGCCAUAAAUACAAGCUGAGACCACAGUCUUGUUGUAAAUGAUUUCUUUCCAUGUCUUGUUCAGACUUCGGAAUUUGUCUUCUGAUGAUGAGCAAGAUGUUGACAUGGCAUUAACAAAGAAGAGAAGUAUUAACUUAAAUGACGUUAACUUUAAUCCUGUGUUAUUUACUGUUCAGUAAUUAAGGCCAACAGUAAAUGAUCUCGUAAAUUAUGAAAAAUCAAGAGUGCAAAGUGUGAGAAGACUGAUAUUUUUAGUUUUAAUCUUCCUUCCCAACAGGCCUCAUAUGUGUUCUACUGUGCAUGUUUUAGACCACUCGCUGCAUGGCCAGCUAUUCCAGUGCUGGAGGUUUGGCAGAAGAUACUGCGGAGGGGAACCUCUUAUUACACUUCUUCCCCAUUUCCUCCUCGUUGCAGUGCAGAGAAACCUGCUUACCCUAGACUCACUGUUUCUUUCCCCGAUGUAAUUCUCCUGAUAUUGUGUCUACCAUAUGGAAAAGUCAUCAGCGCAAAGCACUUUGAAUCUAACCAGGUUCAACUUCACCAUGUGCCAUAAUCCUCAGAAUCUUGAUGACCCGUCCCGUGAAGGAGGAAAAUAUUACAAACGCUGAUGGUCGGCAACAUAUUAAUAACAGGCCAAGCUGCCAGCGUUCAACAGCAUUCUGUAACCAGGCAACCUGCAUCUGCCAAGGAUGACCUCAAUGUUUUACAGGCCUGGGUUCCUGCAGCAGAACCACCACGGAGCUCGUUUAGACCAUUAGCACUUCGUCACCAGAGACGCAGCUGACAAAUGUGGGAAUGACUCAUUAACUUCAUGUGAAAUAAGAUGCUUGGAAAUCGACUGUGUAGAAACUGACAGGUACAUUACAGUAACUGUCAUUUGACUUUAAAUACACACCAGAAGCCCAACUAAACACAUUUUUGCUGUAGCUGCUUCUCUGCUCUUCAGCAUAGUGAGGUGGCCUUUGGAGGAGCGUACUCUAGCCUAACGCAGUACCACCACAUAAUGGAUCCUCGCUCAUGGCUUGGAGGCACUGGUUUUAAUGAGGCCAAGGCUUGGCAGUCAAAUCCUGGGUACUUUCUACAAUACCACAUCGAUAGCUUGUUAUUAAACCAAACUAAUCAGCUGUGGAGGUAUUAGGACUGUGAUUUCUCUGCAUGUGACCAGCGAGAGGUGGACGGAGGGAUGCUUGGUCACUUGAUCGCUGGUUAGAAUAAAAGAAGCUUUCCUUUCCCAAGGUUUGGAGGAGCACAUGGCCAAAUGCCUCUGCAGCUCAUCUCUAAAGCUUCUUCCGCUCUGGUCCAGC